UACGGAGGGGACUAGCGUUGUUCGGAAUUACUGGGCGUAAAGCGCACGUAGGCGGAUUUGUAAGUCAGGGGUGAAAAUCCCGAGGCUCAACCUCGGAACUGCCUUUGAUACUGCAAUCUCGAGUCCGGAAGAGGUGAGUGGAAUUCCUAGUGUAGAGGUGAAAAUUCGUAGAUAUUAGGAAGAACACCAGUGGCGAAGGCGGCUCACUGGUCCGGUACUGACGCUGAGGUGCGAAAGCGUGGGAGCAAACGG
rnacentral:rRNA from 1 species